rnacentral:rRNA from 1 species
UACGUAGGUGACAAGCGUUGUCCGGAUUUACUGGGCGUAAAGAGCGCGCAGGCGGUCGUUCAAGUCGAGUGUGAAAGCCCCCGGCUCAACUGGGGAGGGUCACUCGAUACUGAUCGACUCGAAGGCAGGAGAGGGUAGUGGAAUUCCCGGUGUAGUGGUGAAAUUCGUAGAUAUUCGGAAGAACACCAGUGGCGAAGGCGACUUACUGGACACAUAUUGACGCUGAGGUGCGAAAGCGUGGGGAGCAAACAGG